rnacentral:rRNA from 1 species
CUAAGCCAGUGGUGAACUCCACAUACGCAUCCUUUGCUGAGGAUACGGUUAACGGAGCGAAAGCGACGUUCAACCGCAAAAGAAGCAGAGGGGGCUUAGUGGUGGGGUGACUGCGUACCUUUUGUAUAAUGGGUCAGCGACUUAUAUUCUGUAGCAAGGUUAACCGAAUAGGGGAGCCGGAGGGAAACCGAGUCUUAACCGGGCGUUAAGUUGCAGGGUAUAGACCCGAAACCCGGUGAUCUAGCCAUGGGCAGGUUGAAGGUUGGGUAACACUAACUGGAGGACCGAACCGACUAAUGUUGAAAAAUUAGCGGAUGACCUGUGGCUGGGGGUGAAAGGCCAAUCAAACCGGGAGAUAGCUGGUUCUCCCCGAAAGCUAUUUAGGUAGCGCCUCGUGAAUUCAUCUCCGGGGGUAGAGCACUGUUUCGGCUAGGGGGCCAUCCCGGCUUACCAACCCGAUGCAAACUGCGAAUACCGGAGAAUGUUAUCACGGGAGACACACGGCGGGUGCUAACGUCCGUCGUGAAGAGGGAAACAACCCAGACCGCCAGCUAAGGUCCCAAAGUCAUGGUUAAGUGGGAAACGAUGUGGGAAGGCCCAGACAGCCAGGAUGUUGGCUUAGAAGCAGCCAUCAUUUAAAGAAAGCGUAAUAGCUCACUGGUCGAGUCGGCCUGCGCGGAAGAUGUAACGGGGCUAAACCAUGCACCGAAGCUGCGGCAGCGACGCUUAUGCGU